rnacentral:sRNA from 1 species
UUGCGCCUGCGGCAGAUCCGGCACAGCGUUUAUGAAAUGCUUCGCAGGCAGCUUCGCUGUGUACGAUCCGGUCAAUCCCGGAAUUUCCGGGAUUUAACGUUUUCU